rnacentral:rRNA from 1 species
AGAGUUUGAUCAUGGCUCAGGACGAACGCUGGCGGCGUGCUUAACACAUGCAAGUCGAGCGGUAAGGCCCCUUCGGGGGUACACGAGCGGCGAACGGGUGAGUAACACGUGAGCAACCUACCCUCAACUUUGGGAUAAGCCUCGGAAACGGGGUCUAAUACCGGAUAUGACUCUUUGCUUCAUGGCGGAGGGUUGAAAGUUCUGGCGGUUGGGGAUGGGCUCGCGGCCUAUCAGCUUGUUGGUGGGGUAAUGGCCUACCAAGGCUUCGACGGGUAGCCGGCCUGAGAGGGCGACCGGCCACACUGGGACUGAGACACGGCCCAGACUCCUACGGGAGGCAGCAGUGGGGAAUAUUGCGCAAUGGACGAAAGUCUGACGCAGCAACGCCGCGUGAGGGAUGACGGCCUUCGGGUUGUAAACCUCUUUCAGCAGGGACGAAGCGAGAGUGACGGUACCUGCAGAAGAAGGACCGGCCAACUACGUGCCAGCAGCCGCGGUA